AUCCAGCCGACGAGUCCCACAUAGGACAAGAUGUGCUUCUUGGAU
rnacentral:hammerhead_ribozyme from 1 species